rnacentral:lncRNA from 1 species
CAUAUCCCACCAGAGAGUCGCAGACACUAUGCUGCCUCCCAUGGCCCUGCCCAGUGUAUCUUGGAUGCUGCUUUCCUGCCUCAUGCUGCUGUCUCAGGUUCAAGGUGAGAUUGCUUUGCCUCUAGCACUGGGUUCCCUAUGAAUCCUCAGAGCUAACAAGAGGAGGAAGGCUCCUGUGUGUCAUGUGAGGUAAUGACGUGGUGUCUAAUGAACCUGCCUGCAGUUCUUGCAUCAUCUCUCCUUCCUUCAGGUUAACUUGCAGUGGGAGGCUCCAUGGUGGUCCACUAACAGUGGAAUGAGAUGGCUUCCAUUUAGUCAGUGGACUCUAAUAUACACUGGUGGGAAAGUGGACUCUAAUAUACACUGGAGGGUCAGUAAUGAGAUGUGGGGAGGGACAAUGAUUGGAGGACCCAAUGUAGAGACAGCCCAGAGUGAGGAGAGUAUUGAAUGGUUGAAUAAGGGGAAAGGGUAAUAAGAGACUGGAUGGUGCUCCAUUUACUACGGCUAUUUUGAGAUAAAGAAUUUCUGAAAACAUAAGGGAAGAUGAAGGGGUGUCAGGAAUGUGGUCUUCCUCCCCAAGGACAU